rnacentral:rRNA from 1 species
UAGUCCACGCCGUAAACGAUGUCUACUUGGAGGUUGUGGCCUUGAGCCGUGGCUUUCGGAGCUAACGCGUUAAGUAGACCGCCUGGGGAGUACGGUCGCAAGAUUAAAACUCAAAUGAAUUGACGGGGGCCCGCACAAGCGGUGGAGCAUGUGGUUUAAUUCGAUGCAACGCGAAGAACCUUACCUACUCUUGACAUCCAGAGAACUUAGCAGAGAUGCUUUGGUGCCUUCGGGAACUCUGAGACAGGUGCUGCAUGGCUGUCGUCAGCUCGUGUUGUGAAAUGUUGGGUUAAGUCCCGCAACGAGCGCAACCCUUAUCCUUGUUUGCCAGCGAGUAAUGUCGGGAACUCCAGGGAGACUGCCGGUGAUAAACCGGAGGAAGGUGGGGACGACGUCAAGUCAUCAUGGCCCUUACGAGUAGGGCUACACACGUGCUACAAUGGCGCAUACAGAGGGCAGCCAACUUGCGAAAGUGAGCGAAUCCCAAAAAGUGCGUCGUAGUCCGGAUUGGAGUCUGCAACUCGACUCCAUGAAGUCGGAAUCGCUAGUAAUCGUAGAUCAGAAUGCUACGGUGAAUACGUUCCCGGGCCUUGUACACACCGCCCGUC